rnacentral:rRNA from 1 species
UUUGCGGAGAGUUUGAUCCUGGCUCAGGAUGAACGCUGGCGGCGUGCUUAAUACAUGCAAGUCGAACGGAGACUGUGUAGCAAUACUUGGUCUUAGUGGCGAACGGGUGCGUAACGCGUUGGUGACCUGCCCCGAAGAGGGGGAUAACAGUUCGAAAGGACUGCUAAUACCCCAUGUGGUCAUGGAGGUUAGAGACUCGAUGACUAAAGCAGCAAUGCACUUCGGGAGGGGCCUGCGUCCCAUCAGCUAGUUGGUAGGGUAACGGCCUACCAAGGCUUCGACGGGUAGGGGACCUGAGAGGGUGGUCCCCCACAUUGGCACUGAAACACGGGCCAAACACCUACGGGUGGCAGCAGUAGGGAAUAUUGGGCAAUGGGCGAAAGCCUGACCCAGCAACGCCGCGUGUGCGAUGAAGGCCUUCGGGUCGUAAAGCACUUUUCUGGGAGAUGAGAAAGGACAGUAUCCCAGGAAUAAGUCUCGGCUAACUACGUGCCAGCAGCCGCGGUAAAACGUAGGAGGCAAGCGUUAUCCGGAUUUACUGGGCGUAAAGCGCGUGCAGGCGGUUUGGUAAGUUGGAUGUGAAAGCUCCUGGCUCAACUGGGAGAGGUCGUUCAAUACUACCAGACUAGAGAGCGGUAGAGGAAGGUGGAAUUCCCGGUGUAGUGGUGAAAUGCGUAGAUAUCGGGAGGAACACCAGUGGCGAAAGCGAUUUUCUGGAUCGUUUCUGACGCUCAGACGCGAAAGCUAGGGUAGCAAACGGGAUUAGAGACCCCGGUAGUCCUAGCUGUAAACGAUGUGAACUUGGCGUCGGCGGGUUCAAAGCCGUCGGUGCCGAAGCCAACGCGAUAAGUUCACCGCCUGGGGACUACGGCCGCAAGGUUAAAACUCAACGGAAUUGACGGGUUCCCGCACAAGCAGCGGAGCGUGUGGUUUAAUUCGAUGUUACACGAAGAACCUUACCCGGGUUUGACAUUCAGGUGGUAGUGAAGCGAAAGCAGAACGACCCUUCGGGGAGCCUGAACAGGUGUUGCAUGGCUGUCGUCAGCUCGUGUCGUGAGAUGUUCGGUUAAGUCCGCUAACGAGCGCAACCCUCGUCGUAUGUUACAUGUGUCAUA